CUCCAGGCUGACUAUCUGUGACAUCCUGGGAAAACAUUGAUGCCUUUUAAGAACCCACAACCACUUUUCCUAUUCGACUAAGUGGGAUUUGCAGAUUACAGCAAAAUCUGAGGUGGCUGCUGAAGCGCCUGUAAUGUCUGCUGGGAUAGCCAUGUUUACUACCCUCAACCUCAGGCUGUUCCCUACUGAGAGCUUCAUGCCCAACAAGGGUGCAGCACACCGAAUCCCCCCUGAAUCAGGAACUCACGGACAUCUGUAAACUCAGCUGUGUUGGAUUGCGACCUUGCCUUUAUCAGAAAAUAGGGGUGUGCAGUUAAGCUAUCUCUAUACAGGAGAUUACAUGCCUCAUUGCUCCCGUCCUCCAUCACAGACUGAACAGAGCAUAUGCAGGGAGUUGCGCUGUGUUUACCACAACCACGCGGUCUCUCCGUUAUAGAAGAACACUGUGAUGACAGGUAUUCCAGUCCUUGAUUUUGAGCCCCGUUACGACAUCUCUCCUCCCU